AUUGAACGCUGGCGGCAUGCCUAACACAUGCAAGUCGAACGGUAACAGGCCCUUCGGGGCGCUGACGAGUGGCGGACGGGUGAGUAAUGCUUAGGAAUCUGCCUAGUAGUGGGGGAUAACCCGGGGAAACUCGGGCUAAUACCGCAUACGUCCUACGGGAGAAAGCGGGGGACCUUCGGGCCUCGCGCUAUUAGAUGAGCCUAAGUCCGAUUAGCUAGUUGGUAGGGUAACGGCCUACCAAGGCGACGACGGUAGCUGGUCUGAGAGGACGACCAGCCACACUGGGACUGAGACACGGCCCAGACUCCUACGGGAGGCAGCAGUGGGGAAUAUUGGACAAUGGGCGCAAGCCUGAUCCAGCGAUGCCGCGUGUGUGAAGAAGGCCUGCGGGUUGU
rnacentral:rRNA from 1 species